rnacentral:rRNA from 1 species
UGGGGAAUCUUGGACAAUGGGGGCAACCCUGAUCCAGCCAUGCCGCGUGAGUGAUGAAGGCCUUAGGGUCGUAAAGCUCUUUCGCCUGUGAAGAUAAUGACGGUAGCAGGUAAAGAAACCCCGGCUAACUCCGUGCCAGCAGCCGCGGUGACACGUAGGCACCAAGCGUUAUCCGGAUUUAUUGGGCGUAAAGAGCUCGUAGGCGGUUCGGUAAGUCGGGUGUGAAAUCCAAGGCUCAACCUUGGGACGCCACCCGAUACUGCUGUGACUCGAGUGCAGUAGGGGGAGCAGGGAAUUCCUGGUGUAGCGGUGAAAUGCGCAGAUAUCAGGAGGAACACCAGUGGCGAAGGCGCUGCUCUGGGCUGUAACUGACGCUGAGGUGCGAAAGUGUGGGGAGCAAAACAGGAUUGAGAUACCCUGGUAGUCCACACCGUAAACGAUGAAUGCCAGUCGUC